CGGACUUGAGAGAGCUUGCUCUCUCAGUUAGUGGCGGACGGGUGAGUAACACGUGAGCAACCUGCCUUUAAGAGUGGGAUAACGGUCGGAAACGACCGCUAAUACCGCAUAAUAUACAUGAAUCGCAUGGUUUGUGUAUCAAAGAUUUAUCGCUUAAAGAUGGGCUCGCGUCUGAUUAGCUGGUUGGUGAGGUAACGGCUCACCAAGGCGACGAUCAGUAGCCGUACUGAGAGGUAGAACGGCCACAUUGGGACUGAGACACGGCCCAGACUCCUACGGGAGGCAGCAGUGGGGAAUAUUGCACAAUGGAGGAAACUCUGAUGCAGCGAUGCCGCGUGAGGGAAGAAGGUUUUCGGAUUGUAAACCUCUGUCUUAAGGGACGAUAAUGACGGUACCUUAGGAGGAAGCUCCGGCUAACUACGUGCCAGCAGCCGCGGUAAUACGUAGGGAGCGAGCGUUGUCCGGAAUUACUGGGUGUAAAGGGAGUGUAGGCGGGAUGGUAAGUUAGGUGUGAAAUGCGGAGGCUCAACCUCCGAGCUGCACUUAAAACUGCUGUUCUUGAGUGAAGUAGAGGUUGGCGGAAUUCCCAGUGUAGCGGUGAAAUGCGUAGAUAUUGGGAGGAACAUCAGUGGCGAAGGCGGCCAACUGGGCUUUUACUGACGCUGAGGCUCGAAAGCGUGGGGAGCAAACAGGAUUAGAUACCCUGGUAGUCCACGCUUGUAACGAUGAUUACUAGGUGUGGGGGGGGCUGACC
rnacentral:rRNA from 1 species